rnacentral:lncRNA from 1 species
UCCAACACGGGAGGUGGGCGCCCAAGGGGGAGGUAGUUAGCCUACUUCAGUAAAUGUCUAGAUCCAGUUAGGGAAGGAGAAGAAUCUAACUGGUGGAGAGGGAGAGAUAGUGAGUGAAUGGAGAGGAGGGGCAUGCAAGAGAUAUGGGAACAAGGGAGAGGAAGAAGAAAAUCAAGUGAGGAAGAUGAGCCAUUAAUGGAGGGGCGAAGAAGACAGAUUGAGGAGGGUGGAGAAGCAAGAGAGAAGAGAGCAAGUGAAGGGGAAAACAUCUAAGGGAGAAGGAGGGGAGAAAGAGUGGCUGAUGCGCCUUAGCAGUAGCAUAGGGCAUAUGGCCGAGCUACUGCUAUGUUUUGUACCUAUAGCACGUGUGCUGAACCCCUUGCUGCUGAUAAGUGGGACCCACAUCUAGCCACCUCUAACUUUAGUGGCAGCGAUGGGUAUAUGACCAGCUCUACUGCUACAUAUAUACCUGUAGUGCUAGGCUCAGAUAGCAUGUUGCUAUUAUGGUUUGACCCAGGACCGACCACUACUAGAAAAACGGUUUUAGCAAUGACAUAUGUGGUUGUUAAAAGUUAAAAUGUGGUCGUUGAAAGUCA